ACGAACGCUGGCGGCGUGCCUAAUACAUGCAAGUCGAACGCUUCUUUUUCCAUCGGAGCUUGCUCCACCGGAAAAAGAGGAGUGGCGAACGGGUGAGUAACACGUGGGUAACCUGCCCAUCAGAAGGGGAUAACACUUGGAAACAGGUGCUAAUACCGUAUAACAAUCGAAACCGCAUGGUUUUGAUUUGAAAGGCGCUUUCGGGUGUCGCUGAUGGAUGGACCCGCGGUGCAUUAGCUAGUUGGUGAGGUAACGGCUCACCAAGGCGACGAUGCAUAGCCGACCUGAGAGGGUGAUCGGCCACAUUGGGACUGAGACACGGCCCAAACUCCUACGGGAGGCAGCAGUAGGGAAUCUUCGGCAAUGGACGAAAGUCUGACCGAGCAACGCCGCGUGAGUGAAGAAGGUUUUCGGAUCGUAAAACUCUGUUGUUAGAGAAGAACAAGGAUGAGAGUAACUGUUCAUCCCUUGACGGUAUCUAACCAGAAAGCCACGGCUAACUACGUGCCAGCAGCCGCGGUAAUACGUAGGUGGCAAGCGUUGUCCGGAUUUAUUGGGCGUAAAGCGAGCGCAGGCGGUUUCUUAAGUCUGAUGUGAAAGCCCCCGGCUCAACCGGGGAGGGUCAUUGGAAACUGGGAGACUUGAGUGCAGAAGAGGAGAGUGGAAUUCCAUGUGUAGCGGUGAAAUGCGUAGAUAUAUGGAGGAACACCAGUGGCGAAGGCGGCUCUCUGGUCUGUAACUGACGCUGAGGCUCGAAAGCGUGGGGAGCAAACAGGAUUAGAUACCCUGGUAGUCCACGCCGUAAACGAUGAGUGCUAAGUGUUGGAGGGUUUCCGCCCUUCAGUGCUGCAGCUAACGCAUUAAGCACUCCGCCUGGGGAGUACGACCGCAAGGUUGAAACUCAAAGGAAUUGACGGGGGCCCGCACAAGCGGUGGAGCAUGUGGUUUAAUUCGAAGCAACGCGAAGAACCUUACCAGGUCUUGACAUCCUUUGACCACCUAAGAGAUUAGGCUUUCCCUUCGGGGACAAAGUGACAGGUGGUGCAUGGUUGUCGUCAGCUCGUGUCGUGAGAUGUUGGGUUAAGUCCCGCAACGAGCGCAACCCUUAUUGUUAGUUGCCAUCAUUUAGUUGGGCACUCUAGCAAGACUGCCGGUGACAAACCGGAGGAAGGUGGGGAUGACGUCAAAUCAUCAUGCCCCUUAUGACCUGGGCUACACACGUGCUACAAUGGGAAGUACAACGAGUCGCAAAGUCGCGAGGCUAAGCUAAUCUCUUAAAGCUUCUCUCAGUUCGGAUUGUAGGCUGCAACUCGCCUACAUGAAGCCGGAAUCGCUAGUAAUCGCGGAUCAGCACGCCGCGGUGAAUACGUUCCCGGGCCUUGUACACACCGCCCGUCACACCACGAGAGUUUGUAACACCCGAAGUCGGUGAGGUAACCUUUUGGAGCCAGCCGCCUAAGGUGGGAUAGAUGAUUGGGGUG
rnacentral:rRNA from 1 species